CAGCAGCCACGGUAAUGCGAAGGGUGCAAGCGUUAAUCGGAAUUACUGGGCGUAAAGCGUGCGUAGGCGGUGAGUUAAGUCUGCUGUGAAAUCCCCGGGCUCAACCUGGGAAUGGCAGUGGAUACUGGCUCGCUAGAGUGUGUCAGAGGAUGGUGGAAUUCCCGGUGUAGCGGUGAAAUGCGUAGAGAUCGGGAGGAACAUCAGUGGCGAAGGCGGCCAUCUGGGACAACACUGACGCUGAGGCACGAAAGCGUGGGGAGCAAACAGGAUUAGAUACCCCCGUAGUCCCUGUCUCUUAUAC
rnacentral:rRNA from 1 species